rnacentral:rRNA from 1 species
GAUGAACGCUGGCGGCGUGCCUACUACAUGCAAGUCGAGCGAACAGAUGAGGAGCUUGCUCCUCUGACGUUAGCGGCGGACGGGUGAGUAACACGUGGAUAACCUACCUAUAAGACUGGGAUAACUUCGGGAAACCGGAGCUAAUACCGGAUAAUAUAUUGAACCGCAUGGUUCAAUAGUGAAAGACGGUUUUGCUGUCACUUAUAGAUGGAUCCGCGCCGCAUUAGCUAGUUGGUAAGGUAACGGCUUACCAAGGCAACGAUGCGUAGCCGACCUGAGGGGGUGAUCGGCCACACUGGAACUGAGACACGGUCCAGACUCCUACGGGAGGCAGCAGUAGGGAAUCUUCCGCAAUGGGCGAAAGCCUGACGGAGCAACGCCGCGUGAGUGAUGAAGGUCUUCGGAUCGUAAAACUCUGUUAUUAGGGAAGAACAAAUGUGUAAGUAACUAUGCACGUCUUGACGGUACCUAAUCAGAAAGCCACGGCUAACUACGUG